GCCGAGUUUGUGAAUUGCAUGAAAUUAUAUUGUGCGUGCUGCCUGUUGGGUUAUUAUAUGUGUUUUAUGUAGGUUGAAAUUUUUGGGAUUGUUCAAAUUACAAGGGGGACUCUGCCAAAUUUUCGGUAGAAAGUCUCAGACUUUAGUAAGUGGGCCCUAUUUUGGGGUGAUGUCGGAAUUUCUACAGGUUUCAUCUCGGGUUUUGAGAAAUUCGGGGCGGGUCCUGUCAACCUCCCCUUCUAGUUUAUACUAUCUUGUCUUAAAAAAGAAACGAGGGAAUGCAUAAAGGAGAACAAAGGAAAUACAAGUGAAGAAGGGUAAAUUCGCAAAUAUUUAUUAAAGUUUUGUUUCUCUCCCAUAAUAAUGUCAUCAAAAAGAUGCUCCCAUCCAAAAAAAAAAAAACAUAAAUUGACAUGGCCUUUAAAAGUUUACAAUAUUAUAUUGCAAUUUUUUGAAAAGCCUCGAGUCCUUGACUUUUCUUAACCGAAAGUUCAAAGUGUUGGAAGGACAAAGUGAACAUGAAAUAGAGCAAGAUUGAGAAGAGUAAACAAUAAAAUGAAUGAGGGAAAGAGAUAUAGAAUCCAGAAUGAUGCUCAGAAGAUUCAACAUGGUUGUAUCAUUUCCGCUAUAGACACAUGAAUUUUGAUGGCUUGAAAACUCUACAACAUAAAAAGGAUGAUAAUGUGUUUUCCCCGAAUCAAUGGCCCUCAAAAUUUUAUGAGGAAUGUGGUGUUGGAAAACAUCAUGAUUCUUUUAAGAAGAAGC
rnacentral:lncRNA from 1 species